GUACACUCCUGCGGGAGGCAGCAGUGGGGAAUUUUGGACAAUGGGCGAAAGCCUGAUCCAGCCAUGCCGCGUGCAGGAUGAAGGCCUUCGGGUUGUAAACUGCUUUUGUACGGAACGAAACGGCCUUUUCUAAUAAAGAGGGCUAAUGACGGUACCGUAAGAAUAAGCACCGGCUAACUACGUGCCAGCAGCCGCGGUAAUACGUAGGGUGCAAGCGUUAAUCGGAAUUACUGGGCGUAAAGCGUGCGCAGGCGGUUAUGUAAGACAGUUGUGAAAUCCCCGGGCUCAACCUGGGAACUGCAUCUGUGACUGCAUAGCUAGAGUACGGUAGAGGGGGAUGGAAUUCCGCGUGUAGCAGUGAAAUGCGUAGAUAUGCGGAGGAACACCGAUGGCGAAGGCAAUCCCCUGGACCUGUACUGACGCUCAUGCACGAAAGCGUGGGGAGCAAACAGGAUUAGAAACCCGAGUAGUCCCAUGAU
rnacentral:rRNA from 1 species